UAUAAAUAUUUAUAGUACUUACUGUUAUUUAAUAGUCGAUCACAACAACAUAAUAAUUUUUUAUAAAAAAAUAAGCAAUAUCGUGCGCAUGUGGUCGUAGUUUGGCUUAUUGAUUUUGAAUUCGCGCCUGCGACCAGUUUAGUUUCAUCGUCGGCAAUUGGUGGCAGCACGGUGCUCGUUCGGUGCUCGGAUCCAGUCGUCCUCUGACAUCUGUUGAUGUUGUUAUCAAUCCGAUUGAAAAUGCCUUUAAAUCCUUCAAAAAUGUUGACGGGGAAUCUCCGCGGGGCUCCGUUUCGAAUCAAUUCCGACCAGUCGAGGUAAAAGACGGCCGCCGUCGUACUUGGACGAUAAUCGCGCGCGCGUGUGUGUGAUCAUGUCGAUGAAAAAUUUAAUCAACAACUAUAAUUCCUCGCCGUUACCAGUUCCCCUGUCGUGGUGGUGAUUUUAGGGGAUAUGGGCGCGAAACCGAGUAGUGCUAACGGGACCCAAAGCCCACGGACUCGGGCCUUCUCAACGAGUAGCAGCUCGGAGGUGGUGGCGGCGGCCCCGGCGGGCUUCCGUCUACUCCGCUCGUUGCCGGGGAUGGACGUUUCGAACGAUAGGCAACGGGCCAGGUCCCUUUCGAGCGUUCCUGACCUUCACGGGAGUCGCGAAGCGAUUGCCAUACCAGCUACGGGGGCCUCUUUUGAUGCUUCGAAUGGUGCAAGCCCCGAAACAGAUAGUAGUUCCACCGAAGAGGCUGAAGCUAAUUUAAACUCGAACGCCGCCGGUAUUGCCCUUGGAAGGGUUUAUGCUGCACAUUCGUUACCCUCACACAUUUGGUCCUUAAAUGGAAUUAAAUGCCCUAUGUGCAGCAAAUUUGUCAUUCCUGACGAUGAUAUUGAGUGCCAUCUGGUUAUGUGCCUAACGAAACCACGACUUUCCUACAACGAAGACAUUUUGACUGAUGAUAAAGGCGAAUGUGUGAUUUGCUUAGAAGAAUUAAGUCAAGGCGAUGUGAUAGCUCGAUUACCAUGUUUAUGUAUAUACCAUAAAGGAUGUAUAGAUCAAUGGUUCGAAAUAAACCGUUCGUGUCCCGAACAUCCAGGCGACUAGCAUAGUUUAAAAUCGACGUCGUUGAAGAAGCAGCCGCCGCCGCCGCCCGCAAUUGACUCCUCCGCCUCCUCCUUCAGUGGUUGUGGUUCGAAAUGGGGCCGCUAAAAUCGGAAUCUUUGUGGAUAAUUUAUGCGAUAAAGCCCCAAAAUUCUACAAUCACAUCUCGCACGUAAACUGUUACACCCAAUAUUGUUAAUUUAAAAAAAGAAAAGAAAAUGAAGAGGAUUAUUAAACAAAAACAACUGUAAAUUUACAUAUCAUAUUUUCAUUCAAAUUGAUAAACUCACACUCUUUUCGCGUAUUAAAGAAUUAAAGAAGAUUGAAAUAAAGAAUUUCAAGAUAAAUGUAAAAUAGUAACGUAAAAUAUAAAUGUGUGUAGCGGAUAUUUAAAGAAAAAAUUAAUAAUUAUAAACUAAAGUAAUAAAUUUUCUUUGGGAGACUAGGAUUUUUGGACCAAAAUACUAAUUCUACGUUGUAGUGUCCAAAAAAAAAGAAUAAUAAUAACAAACAUCAUCUGAAAGGAAAAAUUAUGAAUGAUUUAAAAACGCUUCGUUUGAAACCUAGUUUUCUCCAAAAUGAUUUCAUCGAAAAAACGAAAAGAAAUAAAUUAAAAGAAAUAAAUAGAAACGUAAGUUUGGAGUAGACAGUUUCCGUGAGAAAGAGAUAUUUUUGAUACUUUCAUAUGGUAAGGCGAGCUUUCGAUGUGUUUCCGUUCUCGUAAUAAAAAAAAAAGAAAAAUAAAUAAAUAGGACUUAGUCAAUUAAUGGUAUAAAAAGCGCUAACCCUUCGUUUCCACCCGCAACUAAACCGUUUUAUUUUAUUUUUAUUUUAUUUUAUUAUUUUUUUUGUAUAAUUUUACGUUAUAUUGUGUGAUUAUUAAAUAAAAAAUAUGCAAAGCGAAUUAAUUCUUUAAGAAAAAAAAUGAAAAAUUUUGCAUGUUUUGUUAUUAAGCCCUUCGUUUAAGUUGUUGUAAAAACCCCGAGAAGAAUUUAAUCGCACGUUUCUAACAGAAUGUAAAUUAAAAGCUAAAUUUGUUUAAAACUCUUUUUAAUAAAGCAAAUUAUAGACGCAAAGCAUAAAUAAUAAAGAACCGAUUUGGAAAUGUGCACAAAACUACUACCUACUACUACCUAUUACUAUUAAAUGUAAAAAAGAAAUAAAUAGUUUAAAACCAAAGACCUUAGUGAGUAAAAAGAAAUAAAACAAGUUGGUUUGGAAUUUUUUAUUAAAAGUGAGACGACAAAGCGACGCCGACGUGCUGAUAAAAUAAAAUGAUUAAAUAAAAGAAAUGAACUCGUUAACUAUUAAGGUGCUAACUGUGGUUUAAUUAGUGAUAAUUCUUUUGUAAAAUAACCUGUUACCUGUUGAGAAUUAAAACAAUUUUUUUUUAUUUUUAAUUUUUCUAAUCUAAGUUAUUUUCUUCAAUUCAAGCGAGAUGCGAUCGCGGUGUUUUCUUGUUCUCGAUAAAUUGUUUUGAUUCUAUUUGAUGAUAUAUUAUAAUAAUUAUUAUUGUUUUUAUACAGCCCUUAGACGUAGCAGAAAAACUAACUUUUUUUUUAUUAUUAUUUUAGAAAUUGUUAUGUAUAUGCGAUAAUACACUGUAACGUUUUAGUAAAUUAAUAAAAAAAAUACAUUUGAGAA
rnacentral:misc_RNA from 1 species